rnacentral:lncRNA from 12 species
AUGGGCCUGGUGGUCUCAGAUGGAACCUGGGCCCUCCCAAAGCAAGGGGGCCCGGCCAAAAAAGUUUUCAGGUACCCGUCCCCUGGUCCCCUCGGGCGGCAGGGUAGGAGCCCCUCCCCACGCAGUAUUCCGGGGAACGGCGGCUCUCCGCUUGCGACCCGGGAACGCCGGGCAGAACGCGGCGCGGCCACCUCCCCGGGAGGAGGGGAAUGCCCGAGCGCUUACCUGAGCUGGUCUCAAAAAUCUGGGCUUUUCUGCAAAACCUAUGAGGGAGGUGAGAUCUGGCCACAGAGCGAGCUAAGCGUUUACCAGUGGUUUCGGGAAUUCACCACCUGCCCGGGCCCCUUCCCGCCCACUCCACCCGCUUCGGGGCUGUCCAGCCGCUUCCAGUCCGCCCCGCGCCACCGGGCGACUCGCGGAGAAGCGCGGCGGGUAGGGGGGCGCGGGGUCUGCGGGGACCCUCCUGCCCCGCGGCUGACGAGGCGCGUCCACAGCCCGGGCCGCGCUUCCGGGGCGAACCAACGAGCGCAGCGGCGGGGAGCGGGGAGCGGGGGGCGAGGAGCGAGGAGCGUGCUGUGGGCGGGGCGGAGCUGGGGGCGCGGCUCCAUCGCCGAGGCCCGGGCUCACCGCCGAGCGCGCUCGGCGGCGCGCAGUCCGGUGCGUCCUGGGUCUUGCGGACCCGGCUCGAGCUUAGCGGGGAAACGGCCAGGUGGUGGUCUAAGUCGUUGGCCCCGGCGAUGGCGGAUCCCUGCUGCCCCGGGCCCUGGAGCACGAUCUGCUGGGUGGCCAUGGCGCGGCGACCCGCGGGAACCGACGCGGCAGGACGCGCUCGCUGGGCUCCCCGGCAGCGGUCGGACCAGGAGCGCGCGGCGCGGGCCCGGGGAGCCUGGGCGGGCGGGAGGAGGGAGCGCGGGGGCGGGGGCGGCUCCGCCUCGGCCGCCCCGCCCGCCCUCCCGCCCUCCCGCAGCCGGCGCGCCCGGGGCGGGGCGGGGCGGGGUGGGGUGGGGGGUCCUGGGUUCGCCGCGGCCCGGCCCCAGGCGCCCCCCCGGCCGCCCCUCCGCUCCCCUCCCCGCCGCCGCCGCGGGUGCUAGGGGACAGCCCGCCGGCCCGGCUCGGCGCUCUCCGGAGGGAGCCGGGAAGUGCCGUGCCAGCGCGACCCCCUGA